GCUUACGGCCACACCGCCUGGUUCACGCCCGAUCUCGUUUGAUCUCGGAAGCUAAGGUGGUUGGGCCUGGUUGUACUUGGAUGGGAGACCGCCUGGGAAUACCAGGUGCUGUAACUU
rnacentral:rRNA from 1 species